rnacentral:lncRNA from 1 species
AGAUCAUGUAAAAUUGACCUGAACGAAUGAGUUUACAAUUCCUUCUCUUCACGACUUUUGUAGUCUUUCUGAUUUUUUACGUUGGAGACUGAAAGAACCACCUUCCUGAGUAUUUAUCAGAAUGUCCCUUCAAUCUUAUGAAAGUGGAACUGUAAAACCAAAGGAAAACAGUUCAGAAGUAUUUUCUGGGCCAAGACAAAACCAGCCUGGAUUCUCUCACCCUUACUCACAGUGAACAGUAGGCUACUCUUCAUAGAACAUCAGUGGAUGCAAGUAAUGAUGCUGUCUGAUCCCAACAAACUCUUAUUCCAAAUGCAGAAGAAAAAAAU